AGUGAACGCUGGCGGUAGGCCUAACACAUGCAAGUCGAACGGCAGCACAGGAGAGCUUGCUCUCUGGGUGGCGAGUGGCGGACGGGUGAGGAAUACAUCGGAAUCUACUCUGUCGUGGGGGAUAACGUAGGGAAACUUACGCUAAUACCGCAUACGACCUACGGGUGAAAGCAGGGGAUCUUCGGACCUUGCGCGAUUGAAUGAGCCGAUGUCGGAUUAGCUAGUUGGCGGGGUAAAGGCCCACCAAGGCGACGAUCCGUAGCUGGUCUGAGAGGAUGAUCAGCCACACUGGAACUGAGACACGGUCCAGACUCCUACGGGAGGCAGCAGUGGGGAAUAUUGGACAAUGGGCGCAAGCCUGAUCCAGCCAUACCGCGUGGGUGAAGAAGGCCUUCGGGUUGUAAAGCCCUUUUGUUGGGAAAGAAAUCCAGCUGGCUAAUACCCGGUUGGGAUGACGGUACCCAAAGAAUAAGUACCGGCUAACUUCGUGCUCAGCAGCCGCGGUAAUAGUAAAGGGGCUGGCGUUUA
rnacentral:rRNA from 2 species